AUGACAUCUGGUCCCAUCACUUCAUGGGAAAUAGAUGGGGAAACAGUGGAAACAGUGUCAGACUUUAUUUUGGGGGGCUCCAAAAUCACUGUAGAUGAUGACUGCAGCCAUGAAAUUAAAAGACGCUUACUCCUUGGAAGGAAAGUUAUGCCCAACCUAGAUGGCACAUUCAAAAACAGAAACAGAGACAUUACUUUGCCAACAAAGGUCCGUCUAAUCAAGGGUAUGGUUUUUCCAGUGGUCAUGUAUGGAUGUGAGAGCUAGACUGUGAAGAUAGCUGAAUGCUGAAGAAUUUAUGGUUUUGGACUGUGGUGUUGGAGAAGACUCUGGAGAGUCCCUUGGACUGAAAGGAGAUCCAACCAGUCCAUUCUAAAGGAAUCAGUCCUUGGUGUUCUUUGGAAGGACUGAUGCUGAAGCUGAAACUCCAAUACUUUGGCCACCUGAUGCAAAGAGUUGACUCAUUGGGAAAGACCCUGAUGCUGGGAGGGAUUGGGGGCAGGAGGAGAAGGGGAUGACAGAAGAUGAGAUGGCUGGAUGGCAUCACCGACUCGAUGGACAUGAGUUUGGGUGAACUCCAGGAGUUGGUGAUGGACAGGGAGGCCUGGCGUGCUGCAAUUCAUGGGGUCGCAAGGAGUCGGACAUGACUGAGUGAUUGAACUGAACUGAAAAUGGACUGGAAUGGGUGAAUUUAACUCAGAUGACCAUUAUAUCUACUAUUGUGGGCAAGAAUCCCUUAGAAGAAAUGGAGUAGCCAUCAUGGUCAACAAAAGAGACCGAAAUGCAGUACUUGGAUGCAAUCUCAAAAACAACAGAAUGAUGUCUGUUCAUUUCCAAGGCAAACCAUUCAAUAUCACAGUAAUCCAAGUCUAUGCCCUGACCAGUAAUUCUGAAGAAGCUGAAGUUGAAUGGUCUUUGAAGACCUACAAGACCUUCUAGAACUAACACCCAAAAAAGACAUCCUUUUCAUAAUAGGGACUGGAAAGCAAAGGCAAACCAUUCAAUAUCAUGGUACUCCAAGUCUAUGUCCCAACCAGUAAUGCUGAAGAAGCUGAAGUAGAACAGUUCUAUGAAGACCUACAAGACUUUAUAGAAUUAAUACCCAAAAAUGAAGCAGGGCAAAGGCUAAUAGAGUUCUGCCAAGAGAAUGCACUGGUCAUAGCAAACACCCUCUUCCAACAACACAAGAGAAGACUCUACACAUGGACAUCACCAGAUGGUCAACACCAAAAUUAGAUUUGUUAUAUUCUUUGCAGCCAAAGUUGGGGAAGCUCUCUAUAGUCAGCAAAAACAAGACUGGGGAGCUGACUGUGGCUCAGAUCAUGAACUCCUAAUUGCCAAAUUCAGACUUAAAUUGAAAAAGUAGGAAAAAUCACUAGACCAUUCAGGCAUGACCUAAAUCAAAUCCCUAACGAUUAUACAGUAGAAAUGAGAAAUAGAUUUAAGGGGCUAGAUCUGCUAGACAGAGUGCCUGAUGAACUAUGGAUGGAGGUACAUGACAUUGUACAGGAGACAGGGAUCAAGACCAUUCCCAAGAAAAAGAAAUGCAAAAAAGCAAAAUGGCUGUCUGCGGAGGCCUUACAAAUAGCUGUGAAGAGAAGCAAAAGCAAAGGAGAAAAGGAAACAUAUACCCAUUGGAAUGCAGCGUUCCAAAGAAUAGCAAGGAGAGAUAAGAAAGCCUUCCUCAGUGAUCAGUGCAAAGAAAUAGAGGAAAACAAUAGAAUGGGGAAGACUAGAGAUCUCUUCAAGAAAAUUAGAGAUACCAAGGCAACAUUUCAUGCCAAGAUGGGCUCAAUAAAGGACAGAAAUCAUAUAGACCUAACAGAUGCAGAAGAUAUUAAGAAGAGGUGGUAAGAAUACACAGAAGAACUGUACAAAAAAGAUCUUCAUGAUCCAGAUAAUCAUGAUGGUGUGAUCACUCACCUAGAGCCAGACAUCCUGGAAUAUGAAAUCAAGUGAGCCUUAGGAAGUAUCACUAUGAACAAAGCUAGUAGAGGUGAUGGAAUUCCAGUGGAGCUAUUUCAAACCCUAAAAGAUGAUGCUGUGGAAGUGCUGCACUCAAUAUGCCAGCAAAUUUGGAAAAGUCAGUAGUGGCCACAGGACUAGAAAAGGUCAGUUUUCAUUCCAAUCCCAAAGAAAGGCAAUGCCAAAGAAUGCUCAAACUAUUGCACAAUUGCACUCAUCUCACAGACUAGCAAAGUAAUGCUCAAAAUUCUCCAAGCCAGCCUUCAGCAAACAUGAACCAUGAACUCCCAG
ensembl:lncRNA